GUGAAUCAUCGAAUCUUUGAACGCACCUUGCGCUCCUUGGUAUUCCGAGGAGCAUGCCUGUUUGAGUGUCAUUAUAUUCUCAACCACACAAGUGUUGUUAAAUGCGUCUUGCGUGGCUUGGAUUUGGGACCUUUGCUGGCUGUCAAAGUCUGCUGUCCUGAAAUACAUUAGCAUAGACUCCAUGUUGCUAAUCUUCUGGUGUGAUAAUUAUCAACGCCAUCUUGAAAAGCUUCAGAUGUCUAGCUUCUAACUGUCCUGACUUCACGGACAAUCUUUAACAUUCUGACCUCAAAUCAGGUAGGACUACCCGCUGAACUUAAGCAUAUCAAUAAGCGGAGGA
rnacentral:misc_RNA from 1 species